GGCUAUCCAAAUACCCCAAUUCAAGCGUCACAGCUGCCUCCUAAUUCAACAAACAAACCCAGAAAUGACCAACUAAAGGUUCUCAAUUUGAGACCCAGAAAACAAUCCCAAACAAUGCAACAAUUAAACUAAAAAGGGCAAAGGACAUCCAACCAAUUUCACUCGAACAAACUAUGAGCAGUGUUAAUGUCUAAACAAAUCACCAAAUUCCAGCAAUUAGAGACAAUACCACUCAAAAUCUCAAUAACUGUCUCCAAUAAUUCAAUUAAAUUCACCCACAAGCUAUAAGCAACGAAAAUGUUAUCCACACAAUUUAUGCUCCAUAGAUGACGUCAAUUACUCAAUUAGAAAGCAGCAAAGUGGAAUUUGGUGAAUUCCAAAGGUUACCCACGCAAGCUGGCUGGAGAGGCGUCGGUCGACGCUGGUGUCGCGCAUGAUUGCUCGCUGGUGGCGUGUAGCUUGGCCGCGGGCGAGCGAGGCAGCGUCGCGUGGUGGUGUUGGCUGUGAGCUUGUGCAGGUGGAGGUCGCGCAAGGAGGAGAGAGCGAAGCGGAGGGAGGCGCGACUGUGAGAGAUUAGCGGCGGCGGGCUGAGCUCGCGUGGCGGAGAGAUCGAUAUGGAGAGAGAGAGCUGAGCUGGAGAUGAGAGAGUGCGCUGGUGGUGUUGGCCGCGCGUCAGUGGAGAGUAGCUAGCAGCGGCGUGGGCUGCUGAAUUUGGCGACCUGAGGUGGUGAGCUUUGCUGUUUGGUGGCUCGCGAUGGCAGCUGAUGAAGCUUGCGGAUAGCGAAGGUGGCGCGCUGGCACAAUGGAUGAGAGAGGAGGAGAGACGAGCAGAGGGAGGUGGCAGCGGCUGGCGGAGCUUGGCAGUGGCUCGCGCAGGUGGAGGUCGCGCAAGGAGAGCUGGUGGAGAGGAGGCACUGGUCGUGCGGUGUGAAGAGAGAGAGAAGAGGGAGGCGGUGAGGAGCUGGGUGGGUUGUGGACAGUGGUGGCGAUGGAGGUGAGACGCACGAAGUGGAGGAGAGAGGUUGGCGGAGCGCGCGAGGAAGAAGAAGAAAGAAAAGGGAAAGAAAGAAAGAAAGGAAAAGAAAAAGAAGAAAGAAAAGAGAAAG
rnacentral:lncRNA from 1 species